UAACAAAUUUCCCUAAGCAGCCUAACAACUCUUUCUUGUAGGUGGUUUUCAGUUAUAAACUUGGAUUUGGGUUACAGAGAGCACAUAGAAAUACCCAGUCAGGUUCCUCUUAGACAUUCCCAUGGUAAGGGAUUAUUUUGAAACCACAAGUGUCAAUUUUAUUGCACUACCUAUUAACAUAUCAGUGUGUUGCAGUUAAGUAGCAUUGGUU
rnacentral:lncRNA from 1 species